AAACGACUCUCGGCAACGGAUAUCUCGGCUCACGCAUCGAUGAAGAACGUAGCAAAAUGCGAUACUUGGUGUGAAUUGCAGAAUCCCGUGAACCAUCGAGUUUUUGAACGCAAGUUGCGCCCGAAACCAUUCGGUCGAGGGCACGUCUGCCUGGGCGUCACACA
rnacentral:rRNA from 4 species